CGAAAUCACUGGGCUUAAAGGGCGCGUAGGCGGAUAUGUAAGUGUUGAGUGAAAUCCCUCGGCUUAACCGAGGAAUUGCUUAGCAAACUGCAUAUCUUGAGGCAAGUAGGGGUGUGUGGAACUCUUGGUGGAGCGGUGGAAUGCGUAGAUAUCAAGAGGAACGCCAAAGGUGAAGACAGCACACUGGACUUGUACUGACGCUGAGGCGCGAAAGCGUGAGGAGCAAACAGGAUUAGAUACCCUGGUAGUCCACGCCGUAAACGAUGUAUACUAGGUUGCGGAGGUUCUGACACCGUCGCAGUCGUAGCAAAAGUGUUAAGUAUACCGCCUGGGGAGUACGGUCGCAAGGCUAAAACUCAAAGGAAUUGACGGGGGCUCACACAAGCGGUGGAGCAUGUGGAUUAAUUCGAAGCAACGCGCAGAACCUUACCUGGGUUUGACAUGUUUGGAUGCCUAUCGGGAAACCGAGUCGGCUGCCUUAGGGUGAAACUUACACAGGUGCUGCAUGGCUGUCGUCAGCUCGUGUCGUGAGAUGUCGGGUUAAGUCCUUUAACGAGCGAAACCCUUACCGUUAGUUGCCAGCGCGUCAUGGCGGGGACUCUAGCGGGACUGCCGGUGUUAAACCGGAGGAAGGCGGGGAUGACGUCAAGUCCUCAUGGCCUUUAUGCCCAGGGCUUCACACGUGCUACAAUGGCAGUUACAAAGCGACGCGAUACCGCGAGGUGGAGCAAAUCGCAAAAAAACCGCCCCAGUUCAGAUUGCAGGCUGACAACUCGCCUGCAUGAAGUUGGAAUCGCUAGUAAUCGCGUAUCAGCGAUGACGCGGUGGAUGUGUUCCUGAGCCUUGUACACACCGCCCGU
rnacentral:rRNA from 1 species